UUCUGUUUUCUGGAUUUCGAGUGUGUGCCUAAUGGAACAUACCACAUAACUGAUGGUUGCAAGUUUUGCCACACUGAGCGGAACCCCAUAGACUGGACAGAGGAUCUGGACAAUAUUGAGUGUAUUGAAGUUACAACCAUUAGGCAACCUGAUCCAGCCGAAAGGUCCCUUAGUAUAGCCGUUAUAGCAAGCAGUUCCUCGGCUGGGAUUGUUGUACUCAUUGCGGCCGUAGCCUUCAUCAUAUACCGUAUUUACCGCAAAUUCGUACUCAGAAAUGCAACCUUUCCUGAGACUGCACAUACAUUUGGACAAAAUAAUCCUCACUUCAAGCCGGGAGAGUUCCUUCCUGAGAAGAAACAUAUUAUCUGACGACAAAUCUCCAUGGAAUACGUCGUUUUUUAAAUGUACCUGCUGUGUGAGACAGCUUUAACUGUUCGAUGAUGUCGUCAUUUUUUCAAUAAUCGUGACCAUCAGAAAAAAUUGUGAACGUGCACAGUGACUUAUUCGGUUCAUGAUUAUCAAAUUGCUGCUUAUAUAAUGUUAAUCCGAAGUUAAAAGAAUACAACUUUGAUUUUUUAUUCAAAUGAACUCAAAAUGUGUUUGUACAGGUGAAAUAUACAUAAUUAAUACGAGUUAAGUAAACAUGUUUGUAAAAGUUAAAUAUACAUUUUCAUACAAGUUAAACACAUAUAUUUGCACAUGUGAAAUAUACAUAUAUAUACAAAGUUAAAAGAUUAUUUGUACAAGUGAAAUACACAUAUAUAUAAGCAUUCAUAUUUGUCAAAGUUUGAUGAAUACAAACCGUGUCAGACAUCACAGCUUAAGAUUCACAAGAUAAUCAACUAUUUGUUGGAAUAUUACACGUUUUUACAGAAAAUAAAUACACAUUUGUACAGGUGAAGCAUAAUUUUACAAGUUAAACACACAUGUUUGUACAGGUGAAAUAUACAUCUUGAUACAGGUUAUGCUGAAAUAUUUGUACAGAUGAAACAAACAUUGAUACGAGUUAAACACACAAGCUGAUACAAAUAAAACAUAAUAAGGUGAUAUGGAAAAACCAACAUUGUUACAGUUUUCUUAUUUUCAUGUUAUUUAUG